AACAACAACAACAAAAACUUGUGGUGAAGGUUCUAAGACGCAGGAUGUCUUCCAGAUAAGAACCCACGAGUGACUCAUUGACUUGCACCGUCCUCCGAGGUUAUCAGCUCAUUACUUCCAUUAGUAAUGUGCCCAGGAGUGAAGGCUGAAGUCACCAUAGCAGAUGCUUAGGUCAACUAUUUUAAUAAAUUGAUUACUAGUUGUUAAAAUAUAUAUAUAUAUAUAUAUAUAGCAGCCACCUCCUAGUGCUGUUGUUAGGGUUAAACAAUCCUAUGGACAAGGUUUCAAACAGCCCCAGGCACAGGCUAUGGGCUCAAUGGUCUCCAGCUGCUGGAGUCCCUGCAACACAGUGUGCCACAGGAUAGAGCAUUAAAGGGCCUGGUAGAAACUGGAAAGACCAGGGUCUCCUUGGCAUAGCAGAUGGCCUAGGGGCAGGACCAGGUCCUCACAGCAGGUGCGGCAGGUGCCCCAUGCAUACUGGAGGAAGAAAGGACUACGUCUUUACACCACAGCACACUUCCAUGUUCAGCCACAGGCAUUCACGCUUUUGACAAGCCAUCAAAUGGCUUUUCUAUAGCAAGCUUCAUUAAAAUGGAAGCACAUUGCUCUAGUAUGCAGAUGGGGCCACUUUAUUACUUUUUAAUUUGUUUACAGAAAGCCCAUGUUUGGUGUACACCAUCUUUGCAAAUAGUAACAAAUGGGCAUGUUUGCUGCCUCCAAAGCUGUGUUGUCCCUGGAUAAAUGGACCAAAACCA